UGCAAUUUGAGGCUCUCUCUGUCCCUUGAUUCCUUCUCUCUUUGGAAACCAAGUGGCAUGGGGAUAGAUGCAAUUUAGUUCUCCAGUGGCCGCAUAAAACAUGGUGGCCUGAAAAUCAGAUAUUUACUUCCAUCAAAUUGAGCAUUAUCUCUUUAAGUUCACAACAUUGAAAACUCCUGUUAUUUAUAUGAACAAUGGUUGUACCAAAAAUAAUAAUAGUUGUUAUCAUCAUCAUCAUCAUCAUCAUCAGGGUAUCCUGGGUGAUACUCUACAGACUUUGCUUUCUGCACUGUGGUGACUUGCAGGAUCACAAUAUGUGUGGACUUCCCAACAAUAUCAAGUAGCAGGACAAGAUAGAUCCUCACAAUGAAAAACAACAAAGUGGGAUUUGUACUUGUGUCCAGUACUCCUUCAAAUGCAGGCUGUGCCCUAAAGCAAGACCAACUUCUGUGUCACUCAAUGUCUUCAUCAGAACAAGAGAUAAGAGCAGCGGAUGUACAAGGGGAGGCGCCUUUGCAGUCCUUCCCCAACUGCCCGGCCAGCUCCCGGGGCCUCGAUCGUCCGUCUGGUGCACCUGCUGCCUUCUGUCCUGCAGAGGCCUGGAAAUCUGCGCACCCCCAGCCCCAGGCCCCCUUCCCAGCUGGCUUUCUGUCCACUCUCGCCCGUGGGGGACGCUGCCGGCAGAUUGGGAGGCAGGGAGAAGGGAGCACCAUUUCUAAAUGUGUUCCUUGGGCCGCCCGCAGCCCCUCCGGGGGUGGCAGCCUGGCUUCCUGCCCCCAGAUGGGGUCCCGAGAGCAUGAGGGGGCCUGGGGCAGCCUGGGGAGCGUGGUGCCAGGGGGGGCCCAGGGGCCUUGGCAGCUGUGGUGGCACCACGGCCUCCUGCACAGUGUGGUGGCCGCGAUGAUGCCCACAGCAGCCCCAGCCCCAGUGUUUGGGGCUCCCAGUAACAUCAUUUUACCUCCCCCACCCCCACAUCAUCCCUUCCUACCCCAGAGAUGGUAA
rnacentral:lncRNA from 12 species